rnacentral:rRNA from 1 species
GAUGAACGCUGGCGGCGUGCCUCAAACAUGCAAGUCGAGCGGGGCUAUGUAAUACCGCAAGGUAGAACAUAGCCUAGCGGCGAACGGGUGAGUAACACGUGGGUAACCUGCCUGGAAGACAGGGAUAACGAUUCGAAAGGGUCGCUAAUACCUGAUAAUAUCCUUUCAUCGCAUGGUGAUAGGAAGAAAGGGGAAACCCGCUUUCAGAUGGGCCCGCGUCCCAUCAGCUAGUUGGUAAGGUAAAGGCUUACCAAGGCGACGACGGGUAGCCGGUCUGAGAGGAUGUACGGCCACACUGGGACUGAGAUACGGCCCAGACUCCUACGGGAGGCAGCAGUUGGGAAUCUUAGGCAAUGGACGAAAGUCUGACCUAGCGACGCCGCGUGAGGGAAGAAGGCCUUCGGGUUGUAAAACCUCUGUCAUGGGGAAGAAGUAAGUGACGGUACCCCAAGAGGAAGCCCCUGCUAACUACGUG